rnacentral:rRNA from 1 species
UAGGGAAUCUUCCGCAAUGGGCGAAAGCCUGACGGAGCAACGCCGCGUGAGUGAUGAAGGUCUUCGGAUCGUAAAACUCUGUUAGUAGGGAAGAACAAAUGUGUAAGUAACUAUGCACGUCUUGACGGUACCUAAUCAGAAAGCCACGGCUAACUACGUGCCAGCAGCCGCGGUAAUACGUAGGUGGCAAGCGUUAUCCGGAAUGAUUGGGCGUAAAGCGCGCGUAGGCGGUUUUUUAAGUCUGAUGUGAAAGCCCACGGCUCAACCGUGGAGGGUCAUUGGAAGCUGGAAGACUUGAGUGCAGAAGAGGAGAGUGGAAUUCCAUGUGUAGCGGUGAAAUGCGCAGAGAUAUGGAGGAACACCAGUGGCGAAGGCGGCUUUCUGGUCUGUAACUAACGCUGAUGUGCGAAGGAAUGGGGAUCAAACAGU